UACGAAGGGGGCUAGCGUUGGCUCGGAAUCACUGGGCGUAAAGGGUGCGUAGGCGGGUCUUUAAGUCAGGGGUGAAAUCCUGGAGCUCAACUCCAGAACUGCCUUUGAUACUGAAGAUCUUGAGUUCGGGAGAGGUGAGUGGAACUGCGAGUGUAGAGGUGAAAUUCGUAGAUAUUCGCAAGAACACCAGUGGCGAAGGCGGCUCACUGGCCCGAUA
rnacentral:rRNA from 1 species